CAGUCGCCACGGGAACACGGAGGGUGCAAGCGUUAAUCGGAAUUACUGGGCGUAAAGCGCACGCAGGCGGUCUGACAAGUCAGAUGUGAAAUCCCCGGGCUUAACCUGGGAACUGCAUUUGAAACUGUCAGGCUGGAGUCUUGUAGAGGGGGGUGGAAUUCCAGGUGUAGCGGUGAAAUGCGUAGAGAUCUGGAGGAAUACCGGUGGCGAAGGCGGCCCCCUGGACAAAGACUGACGCUCAGGUGCGAAAGCGUGGGGAGCAAACAGGAUUAGAUACCCGUGUAGUCCCUGUCUCUUAUAC
rnacentral:rRNA from 1 species